rnacentral:lncRNA from 1 species
UCUAACUAGACCCACUUACCACCUUUCUAACUAGACCCACUUAUCACCUUGUUUCUCCUUCCUUCCUGUUAGCUGCCGAAUCUCAACAUCUACUUGUUUCUCCUUCCUUCCGUUUCAAUUGUGGGUUAUAAACCUUUUCCACUUCUGUAUCUCCUAAUUAAAUUAGUAAACCACACGUACAAAACAGUACUGUUAUUGAGGAGCCUAGCCU